rnacentral:misc_RNA from 1 species
UUUCCGUAGGUGAACCUGCGGAAGGAUCAUUAACGAGUUCUUGAACGGGUUGUAGCUGGCUCUUUUUUUAAGAGCAUGUGCACGCCUGGCUCAAUUCCACUCCUUAACCUCUGUGCACUUAUUGUAGGUCGGUGGAGGCUGGCGCAAGUCAGUUUGAAGCCUUCCUAUGUUUUAUUACAAACGUAUCAGUUAUAGAAUGUCUUACUUUGCUAUAAUGCAAUUAUAUACAACUUUCAGCAACGGAUCUCUUGGCUCUCGCAUCGAUGAAGAACGCAGC